rnacentral:rRNA from 1 species
UGGGGAAUCUUGGUCAAUGGGCGCAAGCCUGAACCAGCGACGCCGCGUGAGUGAUGAAGGCCUUCGGGUUGUAAAGCUCUGUGGGGAGGGACGAAAGAGAUUCAUCUAAUAGGUGAAUCAGUUGACGGUACCUCCUUAGCAAGCACCGGCUAACUCUGUGCCAGCAGCCGCGGUAAGACAGAGGGUGCAAACGUUGCUCGGAAUUACUGGGCGUAAAGCGCGUGUAGGCGGAUUUGCAAGUCGGAUGUGAAAUCCCUGGGCUCAACCCAGGAACUGCACUCGAAACUGUGAGUCUUGAGUAUCGGAGAGGAAAGCGGAAUUCCUGGUGUAGAGGUGAAAUUCGUAGAUAUCAGGAGGAACACCGGUGGCGAAGGCGGCUUUCUGGACGAUAACUGACGCUGAGACGCGAAAGCGUGGGGAGCAAACAGG